CAGAUCUUAGACAUUCUUUGUGAGACAUAUCCAAAAAUGAAGGAUUUAAAAGGGGGCUGGUUAAUCCAUAAAGCUAUGGGAGGAUCGAGCCAAAGAAAGCUCAAUGUGAUCACCCCAGAAGAGAUGGUGUAUACAGGCAGCAGUCUUGUAAAGACCUGGGGAGGCCGUGGGUGUCUGUAUAUAAUGCCUAUACAACAGGUGCUGGACACAAUUCCCCUCCCUUUUUCAGCAAAGGAGUUCCAGGCCAUGCCUAGAGCACGAUGUUCUUCGUGUCAUGAACACAUCCCACUCCAGCUUCUCUCUGUUCAUGUACAGAACUGCUUCAGUACACCAGACAUCAAUGAGGUAUAUGAUAUAAACAAAAUGUUUAAUGUGUGAAUGUACAUAUGUGUACACUUUAUUACUGAUUUGUCUUUUAUAGUGACCGUGAAGUAAUUGUCUUGGAAGAUGAUACAACUGUGAGUUUUUAAUCACAUCUAAAGUCAUUGUAUCUCCCAUACCUUAUUUCUUUAAAUUGAUCAUCUGUAAUUAUAUAGGUGACCAUUAAUCCUGCGGACUCUGCUGUCAGUAUAAGUAUAUGGCAGUGCUGUACUUAGCUAAAGUAUAUUUUUUCUUUUCAUAAAUACACGUGUGUUAUAAUUUUUCCUAUAGCCACCCAGUUCUCCAGUGGGAUCUGACAAAAAUGUAAGAUGACAGAGCUGUAAAUAACCAAAAGGGUACAACAGAAAACAUGGAACAUGCAAAGAAGCAAUAUACAAAAAGUUUUAAGCAACUUUGAUGCUAGUCAGUAUAGAGUUCCUAUGAUUGCUUGUUCGCUAGUUAUUUUGAAAUUAUGUCUAUAAUAGGUUUCAUGUCCAUUGUGUGAUAAUGAAUUCACACAGGAGUUUAUCCAAAUACAUGCCAGCAUGUGUGGUGAAAAGGAAAGGCACAGCACCAUACUAGGUGCAGAUGACACCUCAAAGCACUUGAGCAGCUUAUCAGACAUCCUGAGGUUUCUACAAGAAAGAAUUGACACCACUAAAACCUUUAACAUUAAUGUGACAAGGGAGGACCUCUACCAGAGAGGUCUGAAACAGUGGGCCAGACAGAAACAGGCCUCCCCCAAGAACCAACUGCAUAUUUGCUUUAUUGGAGAACAAGGCAUUGAUGAUGGAGCACUACGUAGAAAGUUUCUUACCGAAAUGAUGUGAGGCCUUGAGUUGAAUUUAUUUGAAGGAGAUGCAUAUAAGGGCAAAAACCCUAAAUAUAGUAUUUCCUACUACCAGGACAACAGAUACAGGUAUGUGUAAUAUAAUGCCAUACAGCAAUUAAAGAGCAAUACAGCCUAACUGGCUUUUUACUGUCUUUACGAAUCUGUGGGGAGGUCAUUGCCACCAGUUUGGUUCAAGGAGGACCAGCACCAAACUUCUUUUCGACUUGGUCCUACCAUUUGUUGUGUCAUGGACAAGUAACAAAUGAAGAUUUGCUGGAGGUGACUGAUACAGAAAUCCAAAAUCUGAUUCAAAAGGUGGAAGGUGCAGGAGAGACACUGAGAGACUUUUCAUUGCAGCAUGUGGCUACACAGGUCCCAUUCACAGCGAUCAGAAAAAGGCUAUUAUUGAUGCCAUCAGACUGCAUUCAGGGAUUAGGCUCAUACCGAUGCUAACUAAGCUUAGGGAAGGACUGGCUAUCAAUGGUUUAGAUGAGCUGGUGCCACAUCAUCACCAGGUUUUCCAGCCGCUCUUCCUUCCCGGAAACCUAAAAGAAGUGGAUGCACACUUCAUUCUACAGGCUCUGUCUCCUGAGUUCAGUGGAAAGGGAUCAGUAAGACACCGAAAGGAAGUAAACAUUAUCAACUUUUUGCAGGACUUCUUGCAAAUCCUGGAAGGCCAAGGAACAGAGAAUCAAGAUGGGAGCCCAUCUAAUGCUUGUGGAGCAAAGCAAUUGUCAGUGCCAGGUUUCUUCCAGUGGGUUUCAGGUCAGACACAUGUGCCACUAACAGACGCCAAACGAGAUUAAUAUUGUAUGGCC